rnacentral:rRNA from 1 species
UACGAAGGGGGCGAGCGUUGUUCGGAUUUACUGGGCGUAAAGGGCGCGCAGGCGGCUAUCCAAGUCAGGCGUGAAAGCCCCGGGCUUAACCCGGGAGCUGCCUCUGAUACGGCAUGGCUUGAGUCCGGGAGAGGAGAGCAGAAUUCCCAGUGUAGCGGUGAAAUGCGUAGAUAUUGGGAGGAAUACCGGUGGCGAAGGCGGCUCUCUGGACCGGUACUGACGCUGAGGCGCGAAAGCGUGGGUAGCAAACAGG